GACGAACGCUGGCGGCGUGCUUAACACAUGCAAGUCGAACGGAAAGGCCCUGCUUUUGUGGGGUGCUCGAGUGGCGAACGGGUGAGUAACACGUGAGUAACCUGCCCUUGACUUUGGGAUAACUUCAGGAAACUGGGGCUAAUACCGGAUAGGAGCUCCUGCUGCAUGGUGGGGGUUGGAAAGUUUCGGCGGUUGGGGAUGGACUCGCGGCUUAUCAGCUUGUUGGUGGGGUAGUGGCUUACCAAGGCUUUGACGGGUAGCCGGCCUGAGAGGGUGGACGGCCACAUUGGGACUGAGACACGGCCCAGACUCCUACGGGAGGCAGCAGUGGGGAAUAUUGCACAAUGGGCGGAAGCCUGAUGCAGCGACGCCGCGUGGGGGAUGACGGCCUUCGGGUUGUAAACUCCUUUCACCAUCGACGAAGGGUUUCUGACGGUAGAUGGAGAAGAAGCACCGGCUAACUACGUG
rnacentral:rRNA from 1 species